GACGAACGCUGGCGGCGUGCUUAACACAUGCGAGUCGAACGGAAAGGCCCUGCUUUUGUGGGGUGCUCGAGUGGCGAACGGGUGAGUAACACGUGAGUAACCUGCCCUUGACUUUGGGAUAACUUCAGGAAACUGGGGCUAAUACCGGAUAGGAGCUCCUGCUGCAUGGUGGGGGUUGGAAAGUUUCGGCGGUUGGGGAUGGACUCGCGGCUUAUCAGCUUGUUGGUGGGGUAGUGGCUUACCAAGGCUUUGACGGGUGGCCGGCCUGAGAGGGUGACCGGCCACAUUGGGACUGAGAGACGGCCCAGACUCCUACGGGAGGCAGCAGUGGGGAAUAUUGCACAAUGGGCGGAAGCCUGAUGCAGCAACGCCGCGUGCGGGAUGACGGCCUUCGGGUUGUAAACCGCUUUCGCCUGUGACGAAGCGUGAGUGACGGUAAUGGGUAAAGAAGCACCGGCUAACUACGU
rnacentral:rRNA from 1 species